rnacentral:rRNA from 1 species
UACGUAGGCAGCAAGCGUUGUUCGGAGUUACCGGGCGUAAAGGGUGUGUAGGCGGUUGUUUAAGUUUGGUGUGAAAUCUCCCGGCUCAACUGGGAGGGUGCGCCGAAUACUGAAUGACUAGAGUGCGGGAGAGGUGAGUGGAAUUCCUGGUGUAGCGGUGAAAUGCGUAGAUAUCAGGAGGAACACCGGUGGUGUAGACGGCUCACUGGACCGUAACUGACGCCGAAACACGAAAGCGUGGGUAGCAAACAGG